rnacentral:rRNA from 1 species
CCUACGGGUGGCUGCAGUGGGGAAUCUUGGACAAUGGGGGGAACCCUGAUCCAGCGACGCCGCGUGAGUGAAGAAGUAUUUCGGUAUGUAAAGCUCUAUCAGCAGGGAAGAAAGAAAUGACGGUACCUGACUAAGAAGCCCCGGCUAACUACGUGCCAGCAGCCGCGGUAAUACGUAGGGGGCAAGCGUUAUCCGGAUUUACUGGGUGUAAAGGGAGCGUAGACGGCGAUGCAAGUCUGAAGUGAAAGGCGGGGGCUCAACCCCCGGACUGCUUUGGAAACUGUAUGGCUGGAGUGCAGGAGAGGUAAGUGGAAUUCCUAGUGUAGCGGUGAAAUGCGUAGAUAUUAGGAGGAACACCAGUGGCGAAGGCGGCUUACUGGACUGUAACUGACGUUGAGGCUCGAAAGCGUGGGGAGCAAACAGGAUUAGAUACCCUUGUAGUC